GUAGGGAAUAUUGGGCAAUGGAUGCAAGUCUGACCCAGCCAUCCCGCGUGCCGGAAGAAGGCCCUCAGGGUUGUAAACGGCUUUUGACGGUGAAGAAUCGACAGGAUGCGUCCUGUUUUGACGGUAGCCGUUGAAUAAGCACCGGCUAACUCCGUGCCAGCAGCCGCGGUAAUACGGAGGGUGCGAGCGUUGUCCGGAUUUAUUGGGUUUAAAGGGUGCGUAGGCUGGAAGGUCAGUCAGCGGUGAAAAGCUGUCGCUUAACGAUAGUCUUGCCGCAGAUACUUCCUUUCUUGGAUGAGGAGGAGGCCACUGGAACGGAUGGUGUAGCGGUGAAAUGCAUAGAUAUCAUCCAGAACACCGAUUGCGAAGGCAGGUGGCUGUACCUUAAUCGACGCUGAUGCACGAAAGCAUGGGGAGCAAACAGGAUUAGAAACCCGAGUAGUCC
rnacentral:rRNA from 1 species